rnacentral:rRNA from 1 species
AAUGAACGCUGGCGGCAUGGAUUAGGCAUGCAAGUCGAACGAUCCUUCGGGAUAGUGGCGAAAGGGUGAGUAACGCGUGAGCAACUUACCCCAAGGACGGGGAUAGCCCUGCGAAAGCGGGAUUAAUACCGGAUGUGGCGGCCCUUUUAUGAAGGGCUUGCUAAAGGAGCAAUCCGCCUUGGGAUGGGCUCGCGUCCUAUUAGCUAGUUGGUGAGGUAACGGCUCACAAAGGCGACGAUAGGUAGGUGGUCUGAGAGGAUGGUCACCCACACUGGGACUGAGACACUGCCCAGACUCCUACGGGAGGCUGCAGUCGAGAAUCUUCCGCAAUGCGCGAAAGCGUGACGGAGCGAUGCCGCGUGAGGGAUGAAGGCUUUCGGGUCGUAAACCUCUGUCACCCGGGACGAAGAAUUGACGGUACCGGGAGAGGAAGCCACGGCUAACUACGUGCCAGCAGCCGCGGUAAUACGUAGGUGGCGAGCGUUAUUCGGAUUCAUUGGGCGUAAAGGGUCCGCAGGGGGUUUGUUUAGUCUGAUGUGAAAGCCCAGGGCUCAACCCUGGAACUGCAUUGGAAACUAGCAGACUAGAGCAUAAGAGAGGAGAGUGGAAUUCCUGGUGUAGCGGUGGAAUGCGUAGAUAUCAGGAGGAACAUCGAAGGCGAAGGCAGCUCUCUGGAUUAUUGCUGACCCUCAUGGACGAAAGCUAGGGGAGCGAACAGGAUUAGAUACCCUGGUAGUCCUAGCUGUAAACGGUGUACACUAGGUGUGGGGAGGUUGACCCUCUCCGUGCCCAAGCUAACGCGUUAAGUGUACCGCCUGGGGAGUACGGCGGCAACGCUAAAACUCAAAGGAAUUGACGGGGGCCCGCACAAGCGGUGGAGCAUGUGGCUUAAUUCGAGGCAACGCGAAGAACCUUACCUGGGCUUGACAUAGGUAGACAACCCUGGAAACGGGGCUUCCCUUCGGGGCUACCAUACAGGUGCUGCAUGGCUGUCGUCAGCUCGUGUCGUGAGAUGUUCGGUUAAGUCCGGCAACGAGCGCAACCCGCGUCGCUAGUUACCAUCAGGUAAUGCUGGGGACUCUAGCGAGACUGCCCGUGCUAAGCGGGAGGAAGGCGCGGAUGACGUCAAGUCAGUAUGGCCCUUAUGCUCAGGGCUGCACACGUGCUACAAUGGUCGGUACAAUGAGACGCAAAACCGCGAGGUUGAGCAAAUCUCCAAAGCCGGCCCCAGUUCGGAUUGCAGUCUGCAACUCGACUGCAUGAAGUUGGAAUCGCUAGUAAAGGCGUAUCAGCAACGGCGCCUUGAAUACGUUCCCGGGCCUUGUACACACCGCCCGUCACAUCACGGAAGCCGGAUGCACCCGAAGUCGUUGACCUAACCUUCGGGAAGGAGACGCCGAAGGAGUGUCUGGUGACUGGGAUG